CUGAAAGAGCCUUUAGAUGAAACCUUUACAUAAAAUCGUAACCUUUACUUUACAUCAUUGCACACACGAGUUAUGAAAUGGGCCUGCUCAAACGAGCUAUGGGUCGAAAUGUAAGCUACACAAUACUACUCAAAUGAGCUGUGGAGUAUCGCAACAAUUAUAGGAUCUUAGCCAUUGGUAGGACAUUCAAUACCAGCACCCGAAACAAGAAAUCCCUAAUGACAUGUCAUUCAUAUCCUAAACAUUCCUAAAGUUCAACCGAGACUCAUUAUCCGUCAAUUCUUCAUAGCAUUGAUACAUUGUAUGUCGAUUAAUU
rnacentral:lncRNA from 1 species